ACACAUGCAAGUCGAGCGGAAACGAGUUAUCUGAACCUUCGGGGGACGAUAACGGCGUCGAGCGGCGGACGGGUGAGUAAUGCCUAGGAAAUUGCCCUGAUGUGGGGGGAUAACCAUUGGAAACGAUGGCUAAUACCGCAUAAUGCCUACGGGCCAAAGAGGGGGACCUUCGGGCCUCUCGCGUCAGGAUAUGCCUAGGUGGGAUUAGCUAGUUGGUGAGGUAAUGGCUCACCAAGGCGACGAUCCCUAGCUGGUCUGAGAGGAUGAUCAGCCACACUGGAACUGAGACACGGUCCAGACUCCUACGGGAGGCAGCAGUGGGGAAUAUUGCACAAUGGGCGCAAGCCUGAUGCAGCCAUGCCGCGUGUGUGAAGAAGGCCUUCGGGUUGUAAAGCACUUUCAGUCGUGAGGAAGGUGGUGUAGUUAAUAGCUGCAUUAUUUGACGUUAGCGACAGAAGAAGCACCGGCUAACUCCGUGCCAGCAGCCGCGGUAAUACGGAGGGUGCGAGCGUUAAUCGGAAUUACUGGGCGUAAAGCGCAUGCAGGUGGUUUGUUAAGUCAGAUGUGAAAGCCCGGGGCUCAACCUCGGAAUAGCAUUUGAAACUGGCAGACUAGAGUACUGUAGAGGGGGGUAGAAUUUCAGGUGUAGCGGUGAAAUGCGUAGAGAUCUGAAGGAAUACCGGUGGCGAAGGCGGCCCCCUGGACAGAUACUGACACUCAGAUGCGAAAGCGUGGGGAGCAAACAGGAUUAGAUACCCUGGUAGUCCACGCCGUAAACGAUGUCUACUUGGAGGUUGUGGCCUUGAGCCGUGGCUUUCGGAGCUAACGCGUUAAGUAGACCGCCUGGGGAGUACGGUCGCAAGAUUAAAACUCAAAUGAAUUGACGGGGGCCCGCACAAGCGGUGGAGCAUGUGGUUUAAUUCGAUGCAACGCGAAGAACCUUACCUACUCUUGACAUCCAGAGAACUUUCCAGAGAUGGAUUGGUGCCUUCGGGAACUUUGAGACAGGUGCUGCAUGGCUGUCGUCAGCUCGUGUUGUGAAAUGUUGGGUUAAGUCCCGCAACGAGCGCAACCCUUAUCCUUGUUUGCCAGCGAGUAAUGUCGGGAACUCCAGGGAGACUGCCGGUGAUAAACCGGAGGAAGGUGGGGACGACGUCAAGUCAUCAUGGCCCUUACGAGUAGGGCUACACACGUGCUACAAUGGCGCAUACAGAGGGCAGCAAGCUAGCGAUAGUGAGCGAAUCCCAAAAAGUGCGUCGUAGUCCGGAUUGGAGUCUGCAACUCGACUCCAUGAAGUCGGAAUCGCUAGUAAUCGUGGAUCAGAAUGCCACGGUGAAUACGUUCCCGGGCCUUGUACACACCGCCCGUCACACCAUGGGAGUGGGCUGCAAAAGAAGUAGGUAGUUUAACCUUCGGGAGGA
rnacentral:rRNA from 1 species